UGGGGAAUAUUAGGCAAUGGGGGAAACCCUGACCUAGCCAUGCCGCGUGCGUGAAGAAGGUCUUAGGAUUGUAAAGCGCUUUCAGCGGGGGAAGAUGAUGACGGUACCCGCAGAAGAAGCCCCGGCUAACUCCGUGCCAGCAGCCGCGGUAAUACGGAGGGGGUUAGCGUUGUUCGGAAUUACUGGGCGUAAAGCGCACGUAGGCGGACCAGAAAGUUGGGGGGUGAAAUCCCGGGGGCUCAACCCCGGAACUGCCUCCAAAACUAUUGGUCUAGAGUUCGAGAGAGGUGAGUGGAAUUCCAAGUGUAGAGGUGAAAUUCGUAGAUAUUUGGAGGAACACCAGUGGCGAAGGCGGCUCACUGGCUCGAUACUGACGCUGAGGUGCGAAAGUGUGGGGAGCAAACAGGAUUAGAUACCCUGGUAGUCCACACCGUAAAACGAUGAAUGCCAGUCGUCGGGUAGCAUGCUAUUCGGUGACACACCUAACGGAUUAAGCAUUCCGCCUGGGGAGUACGGUCGCAAGAUUAAAACUCAAAAUGAAUU
rnacentral:rRNA from 1 species